rnacentral:rRNA from 1 species
CCUACGGGAGGCAGCAGUGAGGAAUAUUGGUCAAUGGGCGCGAGCCUGAACCAGCCAAGUAGCGUGAAGGAUGACUGCCCUACGGGUUGUAAACUUCUUUUAUAAAGGAAUAAAGUGAGGCACGUGGGCCUUUUUGUGUGUACUUUAUGAAUAAGGAUCGGCUAACUCCGUUCCAGCAGCCGCGGUAAUACGGAGGAUCCGAGCGUUAUCCGGAUUUAUUGGGGUUAAAGGGAGCGUAGAUGGGUUGUUAAGUCAGUUGUGAAAGUUUGCGGCUCAACCGUAAAAUUGCAAUGGAUACUGGCAGCCUUGAGUACAGUUGAGGUAGGCGGAAUUCGUGGUGUAGCGGUGAAAUGCGUAGCUAGCACGAAGAACGCCGAUUGCGAAGGCAGCCUACUAAACUGCCACUGACAUUGAUGCUCGAAAGUGUGGGUAUCAAACAGGAUUAGAUACCCUUGUAGUC